GACUAACGCUGGCGGCGUGCCUAACACAUGCAAGUCGAACGGUAACAUGUCUGUAGCAAUACAGAUGAUGACGAGUGGCGAACGGGUGAGUAAUGUAUCGGAACGUACCCUGGAGUGGGGGAUAACUAUCCGAAAGGAUAGCUAAUACCGCAUAUUCUAUGAGUAGGAAAGCAGGGGAUCACAAGACCUUGUGCUCUGGGAGCGGCCGAUAUCAGAUUAGCUAGUUGGUGAGGUAAAGGCUCACCAAGGCUACGAUCUGUAGCGGGGCUGAGGGGAUGAACCGCCACACUGGAACUUAGACACGGUCCAGACUCCUACGGGAGGCAGCAGUGGGGAAUUUUGGACAAUGGGGGCAACCCUGAUCCAGCCAUGCCGCGUGAGUGAAGAAGGCCUUCGGGUUGUAAAGCUCUUUCGGCCGGGAAGAAAUCGCACAGGCUAAUAUCCUGUGUGGAUGACGGUACCGGAAUAAGAAGCACCGGCUAACUACGUGCCAGCCGCCGCAGUAA
rnacentral:rRNA from 1 species